AGUUUACCUUGGAAUGCUCAAGGUUCCAUGCCAAACAAACGUUGUAGAAUGGCCAUGUCUUACAGCAACCAAGAUGAAUAAAGAAAUACCCAGAAAAAAUCAGAAAUUCAAUGCACAAGUACUAAUUUUGAAAGAUAAAUUUAACAGUGAAAAAAAAUCAAAAAUAAGAUUCAUUUCAUGUUAAUUUAAGACAAAUUAAAUUAAUGAACAGUGGGGUUCUUGUCUAAUGGUCUAAAUGUCGUAGGUGAAGAAGCCAAUGGGAGUACCUGAGAUGAGCUUGAAGGAUAAUGUGGGAGAUUAUGAAAAAGAUCUCUUUCCUUGUUUUUACUAACAAUGAAGCCCAGGAAAGAACCCUCUGUCUCCUCUGUUAUCAUUGAUGAAUUAGAAGUUUCAACCCAAGAAUCUUGAGCAGAAGUACUGGUUUUAGCUGCCCUUUUUCCAGCUUCUUCCAUUAGUCUUCUAAACAGUUUUUCCUCUGCAUCCCUCAAGAACUUGAAUUUUGGAGGUGGUGAAGAUCUCAGCCUGCUAAUCUCUGCCUCCAUUGAUUCAUAGAGAGGAUUGAAUCCACAGCGAUGAUAAGAAUCCAAAGGAUUUAAGGGAGACAUUAAAUGUGGAGAAGCUAAAGGGGUAAGGAACGGGGUGUCAACAGCCACUGUAAGAUCACUCAAACUUUUUGUUCUUGACCCUUUUCUGCUCCUAUCACCCUUUGAUUUCCCAUCUUCAGACUCCAAAUCCUCCUUUGUUUCCUCGUUGAUUGUGAAGAGAAAUCUUGGUGGGCCUGCGAGAUUGUGUAGCCUCAUGAGCUCUGAUUCUACACUUUCUUCAUCAAAAGCCGUUAGAAGCAAAUCCUUGCUUCUGCCUAAUUCCAAGUCUGGUUCUUGGCUAUAAGCUUCUGGGUCUCUCACUCUAUCUUGAAUGGUGUUGUCAAUUUGCGAAGAGGAGGAUUUCUUCCAGCAGAUUAAGUGAAAGAAUUCCUUUGCAUAGUUGCUGCUAUUAUCAUCAUCUUCAACUUCUCUGUUGGUGAUUUUCUUCUUCCACCAUAGCAAAUAGUAGAGCUCUGCAACAAGUGCUAAAAGAAGGAAACCAAAGACUGCGCUCAAACCAAUUCCUAACCCACUGAAAAAUACCAUCUUUGGCAGAAAAUUCAAAUUCCCAGAACAACUAAUCUAGAUCUUAAUGCUCUAGUACAAAUUUCUCCCCUCCCUUUACCAGUGAAUUUCACUGAGAACCAACCCAUCAAUGAGCUAAUAUAACAAGCAUCUAUUCUGCAAGCAAACACAAACACUCCAAAAAAAGACAAAGGAAAAACAAGGAGAGUCCUAAAGAAAAUAACCCAAUUAAGGAACCAAAAUCCUCCACUAAGGUAAGAUUUUACAUUCUCAAAAAUCCAAAAGCAAAGGCAUAUAAUGAGAAAGCAAGACAAAGGGCCAUAGAUAUGUUGCCUAAAACAUACGCUAUAAGCUAGGAAUCCGGGUAAGGUUUCUGGGAAAUUAGUGGAGAAAAAGACUUGCCUUAAAAGUAGAAAGAAGAACAAAAACUAAAGCGCACCCAUCCAAGCACCAUAAACAGUUCUAUUAGAGACAGAGCAAAGUUCUGCACAUAAAUGGGGCCAUGGGCAAAUCUUACACAAUGCUUUGGUUGUGUUAGGAAUUUGGUUGGAAAGGCAGCUCACACAGCCAUGGUAUGUUGCAAAACAGC
rnacentral:misc_RNA from 1 species